rnacentral:misc_RNA from 1 species
AAGUCGUAACAAGGUUUCCGUAGGUGAACCUGCGGAAGGAUCAUUAUUGAAUGAACUUGGUAUGAUUGUUGCUGGCCCAUCUGGGCAUGUGCACGUCUGCCAUCUUUAUCUCUCCACCUGUGCACAUAUUGUAGGUCUGGAAUAAAUUUCUGAGGCAACUCAGUGGUGGGGAAUGCUGCUGCGAAGUGGCUUUGCCUGUAAUUUCAGAUCUAUGUUUUCAUAUACUCCAUAAAAAUGUAACAGAAUGUAUUAAUGGGUCUUGUACCUAUAAACUAUAUACAACUUUCAGCAACGGAUCUCUUGGCUCUC